rnacentral:rRNA from 1 species
UACGAAGGGGGCUAGCGUUGCUCGGAAUGACUGGGCGUAAAGGGCGCGUAGGCGGCUUGCACCGUCAGAUGUGAAAUUCCUGGGCUUAACCUGGGGGCUGCAUUUGAUACGUGUGGGCUGGAGUGCGGAAGAGGGUCGUGGAAUUCCCAGUGUAGAGGUGAAAUUCGUAGAUAUUGGGAAGAACACCGGUGGCGAAGGCGGCGACCUGGUCCGUGACUGACGCUGAGACGCGAAAGCGUGGGGAGCGAACAGG